UGUGCCAGCAGCCGCGGUGAUACAGAGGGUGCAAGCGUUAAUCGGAAUUACUGGGCGUAAAGCGAGCGUAGGUGGCUUGAUAAGUCAGAUGUGAAAUCCCCGGGCUUAACCUGGGAACUGCAUCUGAUACUGUUAGGCUAGAAUAGGUGAGAGGAAGGUAGAAUUCCAGGUGUAGCGGUGAAAUGCGUAGAGAUCUGGAGGAAUACCGAUGGCGAAGGCAGCCUUCUGGCAUCAUAUUGACACUGAGGUUCGAAAGCGUGGGUAGCAAACAGGAUUAGAUACCCUGGUAGUCCACGCCGUAAACGAUGUCUACUAGUCGUUGGGUCCCUUGAGGACUUAGUGACGCAGCUAACGCAAUAAGUAGACCGCCUGGGGAGUACGGCCGCAAGGUUAAAACUCAAAUGAAUUGACGGGGGCCCGCACAAGCGGUGGAGCAUGUGGUUUAAUUCGAUGCAACGCGAAGAACCUUACCUGGUCUUGACAUAUCUAGAAUCCUGCAGAGAUGCGGGAGUGCCUUCGGGAAUUAGAAUACAGGUGCUGCAUGGCUGUCGUCAGCUCGUGUCGUGAGAUGUUGGGUUAAGUCCCGCAACGAGCGCAACCCUUGUCCUUAGUUACCAGCGGGUUAAGCCGGGAACUCUAAGGAUACUGCCAGUGACAAACUGGAGGAAGGCGGGGACGACGUCAAGUUAUCAUGGGCCGUUACGACCAGGGCUACACACGUGCUACAAUGGUAGGUACAGAGGGCAGCUACACAGCGAUGUGAUGCGAAUCUCAAAAAGCCUAUCGUAGUCCAGAUUGGAGUCUGCAACUCGACUCCAUGAAGUAGGAAUCGCUAGUAAUCGCGGAUCAGAAUGCCGCGGUGAAUACGUUCCCGGGCCUUGUACACACCGCCCGUCACACCAUGGGAGUUGAUUGCACCAGAAGUGGAUAGCCUAACCGUAAGGAAGGCGUUCACCACGGUGUGGUUGAUGACUGGGGUGAAGUCGUAACAAGGUAACCGA
rnacentral:rRNA from 1 species